GACGAACGCUGGCGGCGUGCCUAAUACAUGCAAGUCGAACGCAGUUGGGACGGGUGAGUAACACGUGGGUAACCUCCCAUCAGAGGGGAUAACACUUGGAAACAGGUGCUAAACCGAUACUGAUGGAUGGACCCGCGGGGCAUUAGCUAGUUGGUGAGGUAACGGCACACCUAGGCCACGAUCCAUAGCCGUCCUGAGGGGGUGUUCGGCCACACUGGAACUGAAACACGGCCAAGGUUCCUACGGGAGGCAGCAGUAGGGAAUCUUCUGCAAUGGGCGAAAGUCUGACCGAGCGACGCCGCGGGAGUGGAGAAGGUUUUCGGAUCGUAAAGCUCUGUUGUUAGAGAAGCGGUAUCUAACCAGAAAGCCACGGCUAACUACGUGCCAGCAGCCGCGGUAAUAC
rnacentral:rRNA from 1 species